GGUUCGAUGGCGUAGUUGGUUAUCGCAUCUGUCUUACACACAGAAGGUCCUCGGUUCGAGCCCGGGUCGAGCCA
rfam:Gymnopus luxurians FD-317 M1 unplaced genomic scaffold GYMLTscaffold_75, whole genome shotgun sequence.